rnacentral:rRNA from 1 species
GUACGUUUUCACCCUCGGGUGACAGGGAGACAGGUGGUGCAUGGUUGUCGUCAGCUCGUGUCGUGAGAUGUUGGGUUAAGUCCCGCAACGAGCGCAACCCCUACGUUUAGUUGCUAACAGGUGAAGCUGAGCACUCUAGACGAACUGCCGUUGACAAAACGGAGGAAGGUGGGGAUGACGUCAAAUCAUCAUGCCCCUUAUGUUCUGGGCUACACACGUGCUACAAUGGCCGGUACAGACGGAGGCGAAGCCGCGAGGCGGAGCAAAUCCGAAAAAGCCGGUCUCAGUUCGGAUUGCAGGCUGCAAUUCGCCUGCAUGAAGUCGGAAUCGCUAGUAAUCGCAGGUCAGCAUGCCACGGUGAAUACGUUCCCGGGCCUU